rnacentral:lncRNA from 1 species
UGUCUCGGUGUUGCACCCUGGUUCCUGACGCACAUCCCCGAGGGUGGGGCCGCCUUUUUAUAAGAAGAAAAGUUUGGUGGUGAUUUGUCCAGUAACAAUAGGAGUUGCGUCCGUUCAUAACAUAACCUUUAAAAAGCCAUGGCCUCGGAGGAAGUUAAACUAACAAAGACUGUCCACAGCGAGGCUCUGAGCGCUCAAGUCGCAGGUACGGUACAAAGUGACUGCCGUGAGUUACCAAUUAAAGAGACAGAAGCUA